rnacentral:rRNA from 1 species
UACGUAGGGUGCGAGCGUUGUCCGGAAUUAUUGGGCGUAAAGAGCUUGUAGGCGGUUUGUCGCGUCUGCUGUGAAAAUCCGGGGCUCAACCCCGGACUUGCAGUGGGUACGGGCAGACUAGAGUGCGGUAGGGGAGACUGGAAUUCCUGGUGUAGCGGUGGAAUGCGCAGAUAUCAGGAGGAACACCGGUGGCGAAGGCGGGUCUCUGGGCCGUAACUGACGCUGAGGAGCGAAAGCGUGGGGAGCAAACAGG